AGCGAGGUCUCUCGAUUGUCCUCAAGGCAAAUUGUUCAGGGCAGAUCCCGGUUUCAAAGCUCUGAUCUGUGACUUGCAAGAUCAGAGCUGGCGGCUCUCAGCUCCUUCUGGGACACCUGGUUCUCUGGGAACGUUUCUGGGGCAAAGAUUCUAUCGCGCCGGCACAGCGGUAUCAUCGUGAAAGGGCAGCGAAGUGGGAACUCCGGACAGUGUCCAGGUUUGACCACAUCUGAGGAACGAAGCCACCAGGUGAGUUGGGGGCACCUGUGAGUCCUUGCUGGGCAUGGGUCCCAGCUCGUCCCGUGGACUCGUCCCCUGAGGACGUUCCCCACCCCGAGCGCACACAGGACCGCCUCACCCUACACCCACCCAUCGCCCUCCAUUCAGGCUGCACCAAGUGGAGGCAGAGGAGGAGGAAAAUCCCGAUCUCCUUUGGACACUUCCCUUCCAUCACUCUCGUAGAAGAAUGGACAGGAAACAACUUGUUAAACACAGUUUCCAAAUUACAAGCCAUCGAAAGCACAACUCUGG